AACUUGAGAGUUUGAUCCUGGCUCAGAACGAACGCUGGCGGCAGGCUUAACACAUGCAAGUCGAGCGCCCCGCAAGGGGAGCGGCAGACGGGUGAGUAACGCGUGGGAAUCUACCCAUCUCUACGGAACAACUCCGGGAAACUGGAGCUAAUACCGUAUACGUCCUUCGGGAGAAAGAUUUAUCGGAGAUGGAUGAGCCCGCGUUGGAUUAGCUAGUUGGUGGGGUAAUGGCCUACCAAGGCGACGAUCCAUAGCUGGUCUGAGAGGAUGAUCAGCCACAUUGGGACUGAGACACGGCCCAAACUCCUACGGGAGGCAGCAGUGGGGAAUAUUGGACAAUGGGCGAAAGCCUGAUCC
rnacentral:rRNA from 1 species